UAAGCGGAGGAAAAGAAACUAACCAGGAUUCCCCUAGUAACUGCGNGNGAGCGGGAAAGCUCAANUUUAAAAUCUGGCGGUCUCUGGCCGUCCGAGUUGUAAUUUAGAGAAGCGUCUUCCGCGCCGGGACCGUGCACAAGUCUCCUGGAANGGAGCGUCAUAGAGGGUGAGAAUCCCGUCUUUGGCACGGAUGCCUGUGCUUCUGUGAUGCGCUCUNNAAGAGUCGAGUUGUUUGGGAAUGCAGCUCAAAAUGGGUGGUGAACUCCNUCUAAAGCUAAAUAUUGGCGAGAGACCGAUAGCGAACAAGUACCGUGAGGGAAAGANGAAAAGCACUUUGNAAAGAGAGNGAANCAGUACGUGAAAUUGUUGAAAGGGAAACGCUUGAAGUCAGUCGCGUCGACCGAGACUCANCCUUGCCUUGGCUUGGUGUACUUCUCGGCCCGACGGGUCAGCAUCAAUUUUNCCCCUCGGAUAAUGGCNAGGGAAAGGNGGCNCCUUUGCGGGUGUGUUAUAGUCUCCUGUNGCNUGCGAGGGGUGGGAUUGAGGAACUCAGCGCNCNCCUUNGNGUCGGGCUUCGGCCCAC
rnacentral:rRNA from 1 species